UACGUAGGGCGCAAGCGUUGUCCGGAUUUAUUGGGCGUAAAGAGCUCGUAGGCGGUCUGUCACGUCGGCUGUGAAAACCCGAGGCUCAACCUCGGGCCUGCAGUCGAUACGGGCAGACUAGAGUGCGGUAGGGGAGACUGGAAUUCCUGGUGUAGCGGUGAAAUGCGCAGAUAUCAGGAGGAACACCGGUGGCGAAGGCGGGUCUCUGGGCAUUAACUGACGCUGGAGGAGCGAAAGCAUUGGGGAGCGAACAGG
rnacentral:rRNA from 1 species